AGUGGCGGACGGGUGAGUAACGCGUGGGUAACCUGCCUCAUACAGGGGGAUAACAGUUAGAAAUGACUGCUAAUACCGCAUAAGACCACAGCACCGCAUGGUGCAGGGGUAAAAACUCCGGUGGUAUGAGAUGGACCCGCGUCUGAUUAGGUAGUUGGUGGGGUAACGGCCUACCAAGCCGACGAUCAGUAGCCGGCCUGAGAGGGUGAACGGCCACAUUGGGACUGAGACACGGCCCAA
rnacentral:rRNA from 1 species